AGAUUGAACGCUGGCGGCAUGCCUUACACAUGCAAGUCGAACGAGAAAGUGGAGCAAUCCAUGAGUAAAGUGGCGCACGGGUGAGUAACACGUGACUAACCUACCCUUGAGUGGGGAUAACCUCGGAAACCGGGCUAAUACCGCAUAAUAUCGAGAGAUCAAAGGAGCAAUUCGCUUAAGGAGGGGGUCGCGGCUGAUUAGCUAGUUGGUGAGGUAAUGGCUCGACCAAGGCUAUGAUCAGUA
rnacentral:rRNA from 1 species